CGUGUAGGCGGCCUGAUAUGUCAGAUGUGAAAGCCCUGGGUUUAACCCAGGAAGUGCAUUUGAAACUGUCAGGCUCGAGUAGGGGAGAGGGAAGUGGAAUUCCUGGUGUAGAGGUGAAAUUCGUAGAUAUCAGGAGGAACACCGGUGGCGAAGGCGACUUCCUGGCCCUAUACUGACGCUGAGACGCGAGAGCGUGGGUAGCAAACAG
rnacentral:rRNA from 1 species